rnacentral:rRNA from 1 species
AACGAACGCUGGCGGCAGGCCUAACACAUGCAAGUCGAGCGCCAUUUCGGGGGAGCGGCGGACGGGUGUGUCACGCGUGGGAAUAUGCCCUUCUCUCCGGAAUAGCCUCUGGAAACUGAGAGUAAUACCGUAUAAGGCCUACGAGGGAAAGAUUUAUCGGGGAAGGAUUAGCCCGCGUUGGAUUAGGUAGUUGGUGGGGUAAUGGCCUACCAAGCCGACGCUCCAUAGCUGGUUUGAGAGGAUGAUCAGCCACACUGGGACUGGGACACGGCCCAGACUCCUACGGGAGGCAGCAGUGGGGAAUCUUAGACAAUGGCGGCAACCCUGAUCUAGCCAUGCCGGGUGAGUGAUGAAGGCCUUAGGGUUGGAAAGCUCGUUCAGCUGGGAAGAUAAUGACGGUACCAGCAGAAGAAGCCCCGGCUAACUCCGUG